AUAUGUCUUUAUAGUUACCAAGUUUAAUAUCUGAUAUGUGGGUUAUAAGUCCACACGAUAUUAAAUUUAUUUUUCGAGGGGAAGUCCUGUCACAAUAAAUUUAUUUUUCGAGGGGAAGUCCUGUCACAAUAGCUUGCUAUUGGGGGCUUCAUGCGUCGCCUUGGUGUUGCACUACUGUCUUGGCCUGGCGCACCCCAC
rfam:Daucus carota subsp. sativus cultivar DH1 chromosome 5, whole genome shotgun sequence.